rnacentral:rRNA from 1 species
AACGAACGCUGGCGGCAUGCCUAACACAUGCAAGUCGAACGAGACCUUCGGGUCUAGUGGCGCACGGGUGCGUAACGCGUGGGAACCUGCCCUUAGGUUCGGAAUAACUCACCGAAAGGGGUGCUAAUACCGGAUAAUGUCUUCGGACCAAAGAUUUUUCGCCUUUGGAUGGGCCCGCGUUGGAUUAGCUAGUUGGUAGGGUAAAAGCCUACCAAGGCGACGAUCCAUAGCUGGUCUGAGAGGAUGAUCAGCCACACUGGGACUGAGACACGGCCCAGACUCCUACGGGAGGCAGCAGUGGGUAAUAUUGUACAAUGGGCGAAAGCCUAAUCCAGCAAUGCCGCGUGAGUGAUGAAGGCCUUAGGAUUGUAAAGCUCUUUUACCCGGGAUGAUAAUGACAGUACCGGGAGAAUAAGCUCCGGCUAACUCCGUG